CCUUAAUUACCCCAUCUGAGGCUGUUAAAAGUUGAGAAGAUGUUGACGGGAUAGUCCCAAGAGAUGACAUUUGUGUUACGUACCCACUGAUAAGAUACACUUGGAGUUGAUUGUGUUCCCUUUUAACAUAGACUUAAAAUAUAAAAAAAUAAAAUCAUAAUAUAUAAUAGGAGGAGUUAAUUCUGAAACUGGAUUAUGGAAGUUGAGUGGUGGUGGAAAUAGUUGGACAACAUACUGCUAUAGUGGACAGUUACUAUUUAUUCAAAGCAAAGUUAAAAUUUACAAGAGAAGAAGAUAGAUAGCUCAGCACAAAAGCAUAGAAAAGAAGGAAAACACAAUGAAAGACUCUGCCCAACAAUGGGUGAGAUCAUCUCUUAUAAAGGCCAAGCGGUGCCACUAUUCGGAAUUGAAGAAUUUGAAGUCCGAGCAAGUGGAAUAGUCUGCAGUCG
rnacentral:lncRNA from 1 species